UUACGGGAGGCAGCAGUGGGGAAUAUUGGACAAUGGGCGAAAGCCUGAUCCAGCCAUGCCGCGUGUGUGAAGAAGGUCUUCGGAUUGUAAAGCACUUUAAGUUGGGAGGAAGGGCAGUAAGCUAAUACCUUGCUGUUUUGACGUUACCGACAGAAUAAGCACCAGCUAACUCUGUGCCAGCAGCCGCGGUAAUA
rnacentral:rRNA from 1 species